rnacentral:rRNA from 1 species
ACUCAAAGGAAUUGACGGGGGCCCGCACAAGCGGUGGAGCAUGUGGUUUAAUUCGAUGCAACGCGAAGAACCUUACCAAGGCUUGACAUCUCUCUGACGAGUAUAGAGAUAUACUUUCCCUUCGGGGCAGAGAUGACAGGUGGUGCAUGGUUGUCGUCAGCUCGUGUCGUGAGAUGUUGGGUUAAGUCCCGCAACGAGCGCAACCCUUACGUUCAGUAGCCAUCACUUCGGGUGGGCACUUUGGACGGACUGCCGUGGAUAACACGGAGGAAGGCGGGGACGACGUCAAAUCAUCAUGCCCUUUAUGUCUUGGGCAACACACGUGCUACAAUGGCUGCAACAAAGUGACGCAAGCACGCGAGUGUAAGCAAAACACAAAAAAGCAGUCUCAGUUCGGAUUGUAGUCUGCAACUCGACUAUAUGAAGCUGGAAUCGCUAGUAAUCGUGAAUCAGCAUGUCACGGUGAAUACGUUCCCGGGCCUUGUACACACCGCCCGU